UAACUGUUUAGUUGUAAAUGCAUAAUUUUUAAGUCACCUAUGUUUUAUGUUAGGUGUAUACCUGUAUGUUUUAUGUUAGGUGUAUACCUGUAUGUUAGGUGUAUACCUGUAUGUUAGGUGUAUACCUAUACGUUAGGUGUAUACCUGUAUGUUAGGUGUAUACCUGUAUGUUAGGCAUAUACCUGUAUGUUAGGUGUAUACCUAUAUGUUAGGUGUAUACCUAUAUGUUAGGUGUAUACCUGUAUGUUAGGUGUAUACCUGUAUGUUAGGUGUAUACCUGUAUGUUAGGUGUAUACCUGUAUGUUAGGUGUAUACCUGUAUUUUGUGUAUAUUUAUUUACGGUGGUGGUGGUUUUACUCUUUGUGAUAUUUUUGCUAUUUUAGUGAUGUCGUCCCAUUCCAUUUCAUAAAUUCACUAUUCAAAGAAGCUUUAUAGAUAUUAGAAAUAUUGUUUACAUAGUUUGUGAUUAAGUUGGAGUGUAAUUCAUGGUAUUUUUUAUUUAUUUUUUAAUAUUUAGCUUACCUUGAUAUAGCUCAAUAACCUCAUCUUGACUUAGCUCACCUUUGGCCUAGGCAUUUUAAAGCUCAUUUUGAUUAAGUUCACCCUUGACCUACGUUUUUUUAGCUCACUUUGAGUUAGCUCACCUUGACCUACAGUUUUUUAGCUCACUUUGAGUUAGCUCACCUUGACCUACGGUUUUUUAGCUCACUUUGAGUUAGCUCACCUUGACCUACGUUUUUUUUAACUCACUUUGAGUUAGCUCACCUUGUCCUACAUUUUUGUAGCUCACCUUGACCUACAUUUUUGUAGCUCACUUUAAUUUAGCUCACCUUGACCUACAUUUGUGUAGUUCACUUUGAUUUAGCUUUUUAUGACCUACAUUUGUGUAGAUCACUUUAAUUUAGCUCACCUUGACCUACAUUUUUGUAGCUCACUUUGAUUUCGCUUUUCAUGACUUGCCUGUACCAAGAUUUAUUGAGUACUAACACAUUAUAGUAGAAUUUGAAUCAUUGAUAUUUUUGGUAUUGUUAAGAGUACAACAAAAAAAUGGUAUGCAUUUGGAUUUUAAAUGAUCAUCUUUAAGUUAACAAACAUAAAAAUGCUGAUAUUUUACAUGUUUUCAAAAAUCAUUUUUCAAACUUGACUUAACGUAUCAGUAGAGGUACGGUAUAAAGCAUGACUCACCUUUUGUUGUUUGUGUGGUUGUAAGUUAUAUAGACGUGAAAUUGUCAUUAAUUAUAAUAACGGCCAAAAAUCUAGAUUGCACUGUCGUAUUUUCUUUUAACAUACAUGUAGCUACAUUGUAGCCAUUGAGAAGGACUAUCGGAGAAAGCAUUACAUAUUUGGAAAAGGGACGCUAAACAUUGGUCUACUACCGACUCAUCAGCGUAUCAAAUUGUAUAUUUCAAAGUUUUACCGAGUUUAUGUUAGUGAGAGUGGGAGAUGUGAGGUAGAAACUAGAAAUCCUUAUUUCCAUGUAAUAUAGAUAACGGUGAUCCAAGGAAUGUACGAAAUAAAAAUUACAUGUAC